UACUCUGCAGUUUUUUAAGGUGAAAAUGAAAGAGAUUGCUUUUGCAGCAAAAUUCGCCUGCAGGAUCUGUUGUGUCAUUACAGGAUAAUACCAACAGCAUACUUUGGUGAGCAAGCAAAGCAGCUGAACUUUUUGCAGAAGCGCAUUUCAGGACUUCAUGGAAAGAAUUACAUGGGGUUAAACCUCAGGCCUAUAGCAUCCAGGGCUACACCAGGAAGAUGUGAUGGAAUAAGUGACUGGUGAUCCUGAUGCUGCUCCCAAGCAUGCAAGCUGAAAUAAUUAUAGCAACAGAUCUAUAGACCUUAUUAUUUGAAGAAAGGUACAUUUCAGAUUGUUUAAAGGUAGGGUGACCAGAUGAUUUUGAAGGAGGGGGU